rnacentral:rRNA from 1 species
GACGAACGCUGGCGGCGCGCUUAACACAUGCAAGUCGAACGGAAAGGCCUGCUUUCCCUUGUGGAUUGCGGGUACUCGAGUGGCGAACGGGUGAGUAACACGUGAGUGAUCUGCCCCCAACUUGGGUAUAAGCCUGGGAAACUGGGUCUAAUUCCCGAUAGGACUGCAGGGUGGUGCCUGUGGUGGAAAACGAUUUUCUAGUGGUUGGGGAUGAGCUCGCGGCCUAUCAGCUUGUUGGUGGGGUAAUGGCCUACCAAGGCGGCGACGGGUAGCCGGCCUGGGAGGGUGGACGGCCACAUUGGGACUGAGAUACGGCCCAGACUCCUACGGGAGGCAGCAGUGGGGAAUAUUGCACAAUGGGCGGAAGCCUGAUGCAGCGACGCCGCGUGGGGGAUGACGGCCUUCGGGUUGUAAACUCCUUUCGACCGCGAGGAAGCCACCUGGUUGGAAGGGUGGUGACGGUAGUGGUAGAAGAAGCACCGGCUAACUACGU